rnacentral:rRNA from 1 species
AUGUCUCGCAACUGCUGGGCUCCUACGGUGGAUCAUGAGCUGGUGGACUGGUGCAACUCUUGCAGUGAGAGGGCGCGCUCAGCCAAGGAGGCAAAAGAUUUCAGGACUUUGGCAUCUCUAGUCAUGUGGGAGCUCUGGAAGCAUCGGAAUGCGACUGUCUUUGACAGCGCACCGCCUUUGGUUAGUGGCGUAAUUGCGAGAGUAGAAAGUGAGGCCCGAUUGUGGGCAGCAACAGGGAUGUUUAGAGGAGACACCGAGCCUUUCCUCGGGUCUCUAGCUAGGUGGCCAGCUGUAAGUUAG